GGAGAGAUAGCUCAGUGGUUAAAAGCACUGGCUGCUGUUUCAGAAGACCUGGGUUCAAUUCCCAGCACCUACA
rfam:Mesocricetus auratus contig025968, whole genome shotgun sequence.